GUUAUAAAGGGCGUAUGGUGGAUGGCUCGAGAUAGUAUGGGCGAUGAAGGACGUGGCGUGACUGCGUUAAGCUUGGGGGAGGUGUCUAGCAACCUUUGAUCCCAAGGUCUCCGAAUGGGGAAACCUGAUUUGCUGAAAAGCAAAUCAGCCCGGUCGAAUGACUGGGCAGCGAACCCGCUGAAGUAAAACAUUUCAGUAAGCGGAGGAAAAGAGAACAAUAGUUUAUUCCCUUAGUAGCGGCGAGCGAAAAGGGACCAGCCUCGCCUAGAUGCGAGUCUAGGCGGGAGAGCCCAGAUCCCGAUUUCUUAUUUAAUUUAUUAAAUAUGUCGUCGGGAAGUUGUAAGUUUAGUCCGUUUGAGGGUUAAACCUCGAGGAGAGUUCAACAAUUAAGGUUUGUCUAGUAGAGCGGUCCUGGAAAGGCCGGCCAAAGAGGGUAAUAGCCCCGUAAACGAAAGUCACCUUUGACUCUCUGGACUUUACUUGAGUACCUCGAUAAAUGUAUGCGUCGGGGGAAACUGCCGGCACGAGCCGGUAAGGCUAAAUACCAUCUAUCAUCGAUAGUGAACUAGUACCGUGAGGGAAAGUUGAAAAGCAGCCCGGUGAGGGCGAUGAAAUAGUACCUGAAACCAUAUGCCUACAAAGAAUGGGAGCUCCGAUGCGCAAGCAUCAGGGGUGACCGUGUGCCUAUUGAAGAAUGAGCCAACGAGUUAUCCUGCACCUUUUGUCUAAGGGCAUCUAGCCUGGAGGCAAAGGGAAACCAAGUCUUAAUAGGGCGACUUUGAUAUUUAUUUAUCAAAAAAAGGUGUUGGAUAGACCCGAAGCCAGAUGAGCUUACCAUGACCAGGGUGAACCUCGCGUAAAUGCGGGGGGAGGCCCGAACCGGUGAGCCGUUCAAAACUCUCGGAUGAGUUGUGGUAAGGAGUGAAAAGCUAAUCGAAUCUGGUAAUAGCUGGUUCUCUCCGAAAUAGCUUUACGGCUAGCGGCCCGCAAAACUUAGGAGGUAGAGCUACUAGAUGGACUUGAUAGGGAGAAAUCUCGCGAGUCCAACUAAACUCCGAAUGCCUGAGGUUUAGUGCGGGCUAGUCAGACUAUGGGGGCUAAGCUCCAUUGGUCAAAAGGGCAACAGCCCAGAUCUCAAUCUAAGGUCCCUAAAUGU
rnacentral:rRNA from 1 species